UACGUAGGGGGCAAGCGUUGUCCGGAUUUAUUGGGCGUAAAGAGCGUGUAGGCGGCCAUGCAGGUCCGUUGUGAAAACUCGAGGCUCAACCUCGAGACGCCGAUGGAAACCGCAUGGCUAGAGUCCGGAAGAGGAGAGUGGAAUUCCUGGUGUAGCGGUGAAAUGCGCAGAUAUCAGGAAGAACACCCGUGGCUAAGGCGGGUCUCUGGGCAGUAACUGACGCUGAGGAGCGAAAGCGUGGGGAGCGAACAGG
rnacentral:rRNA from 1 species